ensembl:antisense Gm20402 predicted gene 20402
AGAGGCCGUUCACCUUCCAGCCCGCCGAGCUGUUGCUGUCGCCCUUAUCCUUGAAGUAGGGCACGCUCUUCACCAUCCACUCGUAGAUCUGCGACAGGCAGGCUCAGGUUGCUCAUAAAGUCGGUGCUGACAGCGGACGCCGAGGCCAGGCUCGCCGCGGCGUCGGGGUUGGCGGCCGCGCCGCCCGACGGCGCCGGGCUGGAGGUGGUCGAGUUGGACUGGUUAAACUCCGGCCUGGGCAGCGGCCAGGUACAGGAGCGCUGCCGGGGCAGCGGCUCGAAGUCCGGGUCGGUCUCCACCACCUGGGGCGCUUCGGCCAUGGUGCCCCCCGCCCCUCCCCCACCAGCAGAGAAGUACCGGGAGACGCGGCCACCGGGGGCGCGGAGCGGGCGACCCGAGUGUCGCUCCGAGAUUGGGGGGCCGCGGACGGCGGACGCACGCCGGAGCCAGGCGCGGCGGGGCGCAGCGGACGGACGCGCCCAGAACUUAACUUCGCUGGGUCACCGGUGUCUAAGGAGCCUCCGAGUUCGUGCCUUGGACGGGGCACCGACCAGGCCGCGGAGCCCGGCAGCUCGGGCACCGCGCUCCCGCUGACAAGGGCCGCGGACGCCAAGGCAGACGGGCGGACGCCGCGAGCCGCUCUAGCUCCCCGCGGCCGCGCGACAGCGGCGCUGCUGCCUGUUGAAUG